UUUUUGUGGUAAAUGCCAUAUAUAUACUAGUUCAACGAGAGUUCUCUCCCCUUGUAAUGCCUUAUUGAUGGGCAUUCUUACGUAGUGUAUUUUCACUGAUUGUGAAUAUUUUGUGUUGAAGUGCUGAUGUCUAUAAUUUGAUAACAAUACUCAAUAUGCUUUGAUACAAUCUAAACAGUGGACAGUAACUACACAAUAGUAAUAUUAAUCAGACUUAUAAUUACCUAUAGACAAUAUAUACAUAAUAAAAUAUAUAUGUGUACUGUCUAGAUAUAAGAAAUAGUAACUUUGUAGUUUUAAUAGCAUAAUGAUAUCAAUAUUAUUUAUAUACAUGUAGAGUUAAUGGACUGUCUGGCUCAUGAAGACAAUGAAGUCUUUAAACUGUUGAAAUGCACAGAAAACAGCAUGUUUGUUGACCACAGAUUGUAUUGACAGAGUUUGCUUCAAGCCACAUGAAUUGUCAGUUUUCAUACAAUAUUUCUUCAAAGACUUCACCUACAAUGUUUGGCUUGGGUCAGUGGUUGAAAUGAAUUUGGUCAAGUAUUUAAGGAGAGGUAGUCCCUGUUAGAUGAUGUGUCAUGAAUUGGCGGUGUGGCCGCUGAGUGUGUUUCCUGUGUGGGGGGAUUUGUUGGUGCUUGGUUUGCUGUUGAUGCUUGUUGACAGAUAUAUUGGUUUGCCUUGUAUACAUUGUGUACAUUGUAUAUAGCUGCUGCUUGUUGUUGAUUAUUUCAUUACAGUUGAUGAUCAUUAUCACCUGAAAAAUAAAACUCUG
rnacentral:misc_RNA from 1 species